CGCGAAGGCAAGCGGAUCUCUUAAAGCUGUUCUCAGUUCGGACUGCAGUCUGCAACUCGACUGCACGAAGCUGGAAUCGCUAGUAAUCGCGGAUCAGCACGCCGCGGUGAAUACGUUCCCGGGCCUUGUACACACCGCCCGUCACACCAUGGAAGUCUGCAAUGCCCGAAGCCGGUGGCCUAACCACUUAUGUGGAAGGGGCCGUCUAAGGCAGGGCAGAUGACUGGGAUGAAGUCGUAACAAGGUAUC
rnacentral:rRNA from 1 species